rnacentral:rRNA from 1 species
GACAGAGGGUGCAACCGUUGUUCGGAAUUACUGGGCGUAAAGCGCGUGUAGGCGGCAGGGCAAGUCGGAUGUGAAAGCCCACGGCUCAACCGUGGAAGUGCAUCCGAAACUGCAUGGCUCGAGUCUCGGAGAGGAAGGUGGAAUGCUUGGUGUAGAGGUGAAAUGCGUAGAGAUCAGGAAGAACAUCGGUGGCGAAGGCGCUCUGCUGGACCAUAACUGACACUCAGGGACGAAAGCUAGGGGAGCGAAUGGG